UUAUUGAAUGUAAAUAGUAACUUUGUGGGUGUUUAGUGCGUAUUUGGACGGGCGGUUUUGUUUGUUUUAUUCGCGGGCAAUUUUGCGUUAUAGCAAGAUGAAUACGGUGUAAGUGUCUUUGUGAUUUACUUUUAUGGACUGGUUUAAGUUAGUUGGGUUUAGUUACAGUUUAUUUCUUAGUCUAGAGGCUAUAUAAAUAAUAUCUUGAAUUAAAAGAUGUUAUAGACUCAGCCGUCUCAACAUGCAGUCCGUUCACAGAGUUCCUCCAUACCGCAUGUGGCAGAUUAAAAUCACCACAAAAUAGAAUAUCACAACUAGUAUGAACACUCACAAGAUCCAUGGAUGUAGAGGCAAAUUCCUCAUAAAUUGAUAAAGGAGAUGCAGGAGGGAUGUAGACAGCACCAAAAAUUAUAUUCUUGUCACUGCAUGAUACAAGCACAAAGAUGUGUUCCAGGGUUGAAUCAGGACAUUACCGAUGAAUCUUCUCUUGAGCUUGGUAUGGAACCAUGCAUUGUACUAUGUGGUGGCUCUAACCAUACUAUAAAAAUAUACCUAAAAUAAGAACCUGUUACGAAAAAAUAUGACUCAUUUGGAGGAGCAUUGCAUUGCUUAAUUGCACUUUAUUUUGUCUUUAAUUUGGAAUAUUCCAAAGAAGCAUCCUGCAUUUUGGAGUUCCUUGAAAGAUAUAUUUCAAAAAUACACCGCGAAGCAGGAACCAAAUCGAAAAAACAAAAUCUUUCGAAAAGAAAAGUUAUUUCAUAUUUAACGACGUUAGCCAAGAUAGAAUAAUAAAUUAUUAUUUUAUUAAAUAAUUAUUAUAUUAUUUCUUUUUUUAAGUCCAUAAAUGUUAAAUGAAUUUGUUCCAACCUUAAAGGGAUUUUUUUUUGUGAGAUUUAGCUUGUAAGUAGGUACCUAUAUUAACAUAUUUGAUAUUAUAUGGGGCCCCAAAAUGUAUAUAGACUAUGUCAAAGUUCUUGGCUACUUCAAGAGUUUUAAUAGUUUAUGUUUUUGUUUGUAUAUUGACGAGUUUAAGUUUCAAAUAUUCUUGUUAUUUUCCUUUUUUUUGAAAACUUACCAUGUAGUUUUGUUAUGUUCCUACUGAGUUUAUUGAAUUUCCAUUGAGUUUUGAAAAAAUAAAUCCUAAAAUACUAAACAAAAAACUGUAGCUAGUAAAAAAAUACAAUUAUUCCAAUGUAAUUUUACCAGAGCAUUUUUUACAUUUACAACAUGGUAUUACAAAAAAAAUGUUAUUUAUAGUAAUUUUUAUUUGUGAAAAUUACUAUAAAUUUUAAAUAUUAAAUUGUAAUUUCACAAAAAUAUGUAUUUCUUAGUCACAAAGAUUAAGUAAAUUUACAAUUAAAAGGGAAAUCUAAAUUACAAAUAUUUUGUGAAUAAUUAAUGAUUACAAAUAUUUUGCGAUUUUACAACAAAUAUAAUGGUCACACUAAAAGCAGUAGAUUUAUUGUAAAUUCACAAAAUAUUUUUUCCAGUGUAGAGGAUGACGCCGGAAUGCUGAUUUAAAGUUUGUUGCUAAAUUUAAAAGGACUGUAUUAGUAUAUCAUUUAUUUUUCGUUGUUAAACAUUAUCAGGGUAGUAGCAUUUAUUUUUGUUUAUUUAACAUUUUUUUAAAUUACGGAAAACUUUUAGGUAAAAAACAUUUUCAUUAAAUAUGUUUGACUGCGCAAUGUGUUUCUUUUUUUUUAAUAAUUUUUAUAUAUACAUUUGAUUAGACUUAUUUUGGUUAGUACUGGGCAAAAAAAAGUAGACAAAUCUGUUUCAUUCAAGCAAAAACCGAUAAAUCCAUUUUUUAAAUUGCAAUAACUUUUUUAUAAAUAAACUGAAAAACUUAAAAUUUUUUAUUAUAAAAUGUUUAUUAUAGCACCUACCCAAAGCAAAUUUAAACUACCAAAAAAACAGUUCGGAUUUAGCACCAUCGGUUUUUCGUGAAUAUCUCAAAAUUGUUUUGAAUGGAUUUAUCGGUUUUUGUCUGAUUGCUCCGCAAAUAUACUACUUAACAUUGGUGAAAGGGGAGAACCCAUAGCCAUACCAAAGUUUUGUUGAUAAAAUUCAUUAUUGUAUUGGAAAUAAGUAGUUUUUACACAAUAGGUUAAAAGUUAUAAAAUUGUACUAACGCUUAGUGUUGUACGUACUGCUAAAUUAUUAUCAUUAUUAUAUUCUCUAAUUUAUUUUUAACAAUAUUUAAAGUUCUGUCAACAGGGACAUUAGUAAAAAGAGUUCUAAAAAGUAUUAAAAAUUUUUAAUGUAAGAAUGUAUGGAGUUAAGCUAUUUAAAACAUAUUUUGCAAGAGGAUGAGUAGGUAAAUUUAUGCUACUAACUAUAGGUCCUAAAGGAACAUUUAUUUUAUGUAUUUUUGGUAAACCAUAAAAAUGUGGUGAUUUACUAUUACGUAGAGUUAAUUUAAAUCUAUCAAUAUCAGUUUUGAUGCUUUUUAAGUAAAUUAUAAAUUUGUCUUUCAAU